rnacentral:rRNA from 1 species
CACGCCGUAAACGAUGUCAACUAGCCGUUGGUUCCAUUUAAGGGAUCAGUGGCGCAGCUAACGCGAUAAGUUGACCGCCUGGGGAGUACGCCGGCAACGGUAAAACUCAAAGGAAUUGACGGGGGCCCGCACAAGCGGUGGAGCAUGUGGUUUAAUUCGAUGCAACGCGAAAAACCUUACCUACCCUUGACAUCAUCGGAACUUGUCAGAGAUGACUCGGUGCCUUCGGGAACCGAUAGACAG